rnacentral:rRNA from 1 species
AGCGAACGCUGGCGGCAGCCCUAACACAUGCAAGUCGAACGAAGUCUUCGGACUUAGUGGCGGACGGGUGAGUAACACGUGGGAACGUGCCUUUAGGUUCGGAAUAACUCAGGGAAACUUGUGCUAAUACCGAAUGUGCCCUUCGGGGGAAAGAUUUAUCGCCUUUAGAGCGGCCCGCGUCUGAUUAGCUAGUUGGUGAGGUAAAGGCGCACCAAGGCUACGAGCAGUAGCUGGACUGAGAGGAUGACCAGCCACAUUGGGACUGAGACACGGCCCAAACUCCUACGGGAGGCAGCAGUGGGGAAUCUUGCGCAAGGGGCGAAAGCCUGACGCAGCCAUGCCGCGUGGAUGAUGAAGGUCUUAGGAUUGUAAAAUCCUUUCACCGGUGAAGAUAAUGACUGUAGCCGGAGAAGAAGCCCCGGCUAACUUCGUGCCAGCCGCCGCGGUAACAC